CUUUUCUUGGUAGUUUUUGAAGUAUGGUCUGCCCGCUGAUGUGUGAGUUGAAGGGCCGCGGUAUUUUGACCGUGCAAAGGUAGCAUAGUCAUUAGUUCUUUAAUUGUGAUCUGGUAUGAAUGGCUUGACGAGACAUGAGCUGUCUUAGGUGUGGAAUUUAAUUUGUUGAAUUUGUAUUUUGAGUUAAAAUUCUUAGAUGUUUUUAUGGGACGAGAAGACCCUAUAGAGUUUUACAUUGGGUUGUAUACACUUUUUGUUUGUUUUCCAUUUUUAUAUGCCUUUUGUUUUGUUGGGGUGAUGGGAGGAAUUUCUUUAACUCCUCUUUUGUGUUGUUAUAUUGAUUUGUAUUUGUUUUGAUCCAUUUAUUUUGAUUAUAAGAUUAAAUUACCUUAGGGAUAACAGCGUUAUCUUCCCUGAGAGUUCUUAUUGGCGGGGGGGUUUGCGACCUCGAUGUUGGAUUAAGGUUUAUUUUUGGUGUAGGAGCUGAAUAGAUUAGGUCUGUUCGACCUUUAAAAUCUU
rnacentral:rRNA from 1 species